UACGUAAGGACCGAGCGUUGUCCGGAAUCAUUGGGCGUAAAGGGUACGUAGGCGGCUAGAAAAGUUAGAAGUCAAAGGCUAUAGCUCAACUAUAGUAAGCUUCUAAAACUAUUUAGCUUGAGAAAUGGAAGGGAAAGUGGAAUUCCUAGUGUAGCGGUGGAAUGCGCAGAUAUUAGGAAGAAUACCGGUGGCGAAGGCGACUUUCUGGCCAUUAUCUGACGCUGAGGUACGAAAGCGUGGGUAGCAAACAGGAUUAGAUACCCUGGUAGU
rnacentral:rRNA from 1 species